rnacentral:rRNA from 1 species
GGGGAAUCUUAGACAAUGGGGGAAACCCUGAUCUAGCCAUGCCGCGUGAGCGAUGAAGGCCUUAGGGUUGUAAAGCUCUUUCAGCUGGGAAGAUAAUGACGGUACCAGCAGAAGAAGCCCCGGCUAACUCCGUGCCAGCAGCCGCGGUAAUACGGAGGGGGCUAGCGUUGUUCGGAAUUACUGGGCGUAAAGCGCACGUAGGCGGAUUAUUAAGUCGGGGGUGAAAUCCCGGGGCUCAACCCCGGAACUGCCUUCGAUACUGGUAGUCUAGAGUUCUGGAGAGGUGAGUGGAAUUCCGAGUGUAGAGGUGAAAUUCGUAGAUAUUCGGAGGAACACCAGUGGCGAAGGCGGCUCACUGGCCAGACACUGACGCUGAGGUGCGAAAGCGUGGGGAGCAAAC